GACGAACGCUGGCGGCGUGCCUAAUACAUGCAAGUUGAGCGCUGAAGGUUGGUACUUGUACCGACUGGAUGAGCAGCUAACGGGUGAGUAACGCGUAGGGAAUCUGCCUUUGAUCGGGGGACAACAUUUGGAAACGAAUGCUAAUACCGCAUAAAAACUUUAAACACAAGUUUUAAGUUUGAAAGAUGCAAUUGCAUCUCUCGAAGAUGAUCCUGCGUUGUAUUAGCUAGUUGGUGAGGUAAAGGCUCACCAAGGCGAUGAUACAUAGCCGACCUGAGAGGGGGGUCGGCCACAUUUGGACUGAGACACUGCCCAAAAUCCUACGGGAGGCAGCAGUAGGGAAUCUUCGGACAUGGACGAAAGUCUGACCGAGCAACGCCGCGUGAGUGGAGAAGGGUUUCGGAUCGUAAAACUCUGUUGGUAGAGAAGAACGUUGGUGAGAGUGGAAAGCUCAUCAAGUGACGGUAACUACCCAGAAAGGGACGGCUAACUACGUG
rnacentral:rRNA from 1 species